AUAAAAGGACACCACAUCCUGCCAAAUUCCAGCUGCGCUAAUUGUAUUGUGUUCACAGAGCUCACAAGCUAUCAGAAAGUUGUAUGGCAACCACCUCCGGCACCAAAUAGAACUGGCAGACAUAGACAUUCAGUACAAGAAGAAAACGAGAGAAAAUCUUGCACUGGAGUCCGAAAUAAAAAAAGAGGACAAUUAGGAAACUGAACCUUGAAAUAAUAAAACUUGAGAGGGAGCUCCAAGAAGAUGACACAGCUCAAAAUAAAAAUUAGCAAUCAGUACAACCAAGUCAUCGUUAUAAGGCACCGGCCUCUUUUGCCCACCCCCCCAGCGCCAGGUUUGGCCACUAGCCUAUAUGAAGGCCCAAAAUUGUGUGUUCCUUUCUGCUCUGACAAUGGCAUGCCCAUUCUUGCGAGAUGUGGUGGAUGAAGAAGCACUUGUGCUGAGGAGAGCCUUCAGGCGAGAAAGGGUCUUCAGGGACCGGUUGGACCCACUGGCCUUCCCUGAUGACCAUCUAUAUGAAAGAUACAGGUUUUCUGCAGAUGGCAUCAGGUAUCUAUGCAGACUACUGGGUCCCAGGAUUAAGCACCGCACUGCACGGAGCCAUGCACUGAGUGUGGAGCAAAUGGUUUGUGUGGCCUUGCGCUUUUUGGUGCAGUGGACUGCACACACAUAAGGAUAAAAGCCCCCUCAGGUGCCCAUGAGGCCGAUUUUGUGAAUAGGAAAUCCUUUCACAGCAUUAAUGUUCAGAUGGUCUGCAAUGCUGACUGUGUGAUCAGCAAUGUUGUGGCGAAAUGGCCUGGCUCAGUCCAUGACUCCAGAAUCUUUCGGGCCUCUGAAAUCUAUC